UAAAGGGAGUGAUGGGUGGGCUGCUUUGGAUACAUGGACCUGGGGUGAAGGAGGGGGACAGCAGACAGAGGCUGCUGUUGCAACAAGACCCCUGGGGCUGGCCAGAAUUGGGAAAUGUAAGAAGAUGGUGCAGGCUUGUAGAUAUAAGUGUUCAUCGUGCCAUCUGAAGGAUUUACUACAGAGAAAAAAAGCAAGGAAAUUAUGCCAGAAAAAGAACAGGAAGACAAGUCAGCAGCAUACGCCAAUGCUCUGGUUGAAGACACUGCUUGACGUCAUGCUUUUCCAUGUCCUGUUUUCUUCCACGGCCAGCAAAAAGAAAAGCCUAUUAUGUGGCCGGCCCAAGACCACCAUAAUCAUCUUUGAUUUUACUUCUCUGCCCCCAGGUCUCUAAGUAAAAUCUGUCUCCUUUCACUGAG